rnacentral:tRNA from 1 species
GCCGAGAUGGCGGAGCCUGGUUAAACGCGUCUGCCUUGAGAGCAGGAGCGCUUCGGCGCACGCAGGUUCGAAUCCUGCUCUCGGCG